GUCUUUAUGAAAUAUUUAUAAAGUCUGGCCUGCCCACUGAAUAAUUUAAAGGGCCGCGGUAUCUUGACCGUGCAAAGGUAGCAUAGUCAUUUGUCUUUUAAUUGGAGGCUUGUAUGAAUGGUCGCACAAGAAAUAAUUUGUCUUAAAUAAAUAUAUUGAAUUUAACUUUUAAGUAAAAAGGCUUAAAUAAAUUAAAGUGACGAUAAGACCCUAUAAAACUUUAUAAUUUAAUUUAGAAAAAUGUAUUAGUUAUUUAAAAUUUUUUUGAAUGAAUUUAUUUUAUUGGGGCGAUAAAAAUAAAAAUAGUAACUGUUUUUAAAAUUUUAAUGAUAAUUGUCAGUAAAUAUUUAAUGAUCCUUUAUUAAAGAUUAUAAGAUUAAGUUACUUUAGGGAUAACAGCGUAAUUUUCUUUGAGAGCUCUUAUCUACAAGAAAGAUUGCGACCUCGAUGUUGAAUUAAAAUUUCUUUAAGGUGUAGCAGCUUUAAUAGAAGGUCUGUUCGACCUUUAAAUUUUU
rnacentral:rRNA from 1 species